GACGAACGCUGGCGGCGUGCUUAACACAUGCAAGUCGAACGGAGCGAAUGAAAGCUUGCUUUUAUGAGCUUAGUGGCAAACGGGUGAGUAACACGUAGACAACCUGCCGACAGGAUGGGGACAACAUUCCGAAAGGAAUGCUAAUACCGAAUGAAGCGGAGGAGAGGCAUCUCUCUUCCGUGAAAGAUGGCCUCUUUUUAUGCUAUCACCUGUUGAUGGGUCUGCGUCUGAUUAGCUGGUUGGUGAGGUAACGGCUCACCAAGGCGACGAUCAGUAGCCGGUCUGAGAGGAUGAACGGCCACAUUGGGACUGAGACACGGCCCAGACUCCUACGGGAGGCAGCAGUGGGGAAUCUUCCGCAAUGGGCGCAAGCCUGACGGAGCAACGCCGCGUGAGUGAAGAAGGCCUUCGGAUCGUAAAGCUCUGUUGACGGGGACGAACGUGCGGAGUGCGAAUAGCGCU
rnacentral:rRNA from 1 species